rnacentral:rRNA from 1 species
UGGCUCAGGACGAACGCUGGCGGCGUGCUUAACACAUGCAAGUCGAACGAUGAAGCCCUUCGGGGUGGAUUAGUGGCGAACGGGUGAGUAACACGUGGGCAAUCUGCCCUGCACUCUGGGACAAGCCCUGGAAACGGGGUCUAAUACCGGAUAACACCCCCUCUCGCAUGGGAGGGGGUUGAAAGCUCCGGCGGUGCAGGAUGAGCCCGCGGCCUAUCAGCUUGUUGGUGAGGUAGAAGCUCACCAAGGCGACGACGGGUAGCCGGCCUGAGAGGGCGACCGGCCACACUGGGACUGAGACACGGCCCAGACUCCUACGGGAGGCAGCAGUGGGGAAUAUUGCACAAUGGGCGAAAGCCUGAUGCAGCGACGCCGCGUGAGGGAUGACGGCCUUCGGGUUGUAAACCU